AGAGUUUGAUCCUGGCUCAGAAUGAACGCUGGCGGCGUGCCUAACACAUGCAAGUCGGAUGUGCCCGCAAGGGUGCAUGGCAGACGGGUGAGUAACACGUGGGGAACCUACCUCUUUGUGGGGAAUAACGCUCCGAAAGGAGUGGUAAUACCGCAUGAGACCAAUGGCUGGGAUGCUGUUGGUGAAACCUCGGGACCGCAAGGCCGGGGGCAAGGAGAGGGUCCUGCGUCUGAUUAGCUAGUUGGUGAGGUAACGGCCCACCAAGGCUUCGAUCAGUAGCCGGCCUGAGAGGGUGAUCGGCCACACUGGAACUGAGACACGGUCCAGACUCCUACGGGAGGCAGCAGUGGGGAAUUUUGCGCAAUGGGCGAAAGCCUGACGCAGCAACGCCGCGUGGGUGAUGAAGGUCUUCGGAUUGUAAAACCCUGUCGUCGGGGACGAAGGUAGGGGCGUUAACAGCGCCUUUGCUUGACGGUACCCGGAGAGGAAGCCCCGGCUAACUCUGUGCCAGCAGCCGCGGUAAUACAGAGGGGGCAAGCGUUAUUCGGAAUUAUUGGGCGUAAAGGGCGCGUAGGCGGCUUUUUAAGUCAGAUGUGUAAUCCCCGAGCUCAACUUGGGAACUGCAUCUGAGACUGGAAGGCUAGAGUGCUGGAGAGGGUGGUGGAAUUCCUCGUGUAGCGGUGAAAUGCGUAGAGAUGAGGAGGAACACCAGUGGCGAAGGCGGCCACCUGGACAGUAACUGACGCUGAGGCGCGAAAGUGUGGGUAGCAAACAGGAUUAGAUACCCUGGUAGUCCACACUGUAAACGAUGAACACUUGGUGUGUCGGGAGUUGACCCCCGACGUGCCGGAGCUAACGCGUUAAGUGUUCCGCCUGGGGAGUACGGUCGCAAGGCUGAAACUCAAA
rnacentral:rRNA from 1 species